rnacentral:ribozyme from 11 species
AAAAUUGGAAAAAAAAUUGGAAAAAAGAGUGGAAAAAAUGUUACGCCUUUUUGCUAUUUUUUUUUGCUUUCCUUUCAUCUCUUCCUUUUC